CCUACGGGUGGCAGCAGUGAGGAAUAUUGGUCAAUGGACGCAAGUCUGAACCAGCCAUGUAGCGUGAAGGAUGACUGCUCUAUGGGUUGUAAACUUCUUUUAUAAAGGAAUAAAACGCGGCACGUGUGCCUUUUUGCAUGUACUUUAUGAAUAAGGAUCGGCUAACUCCGUGCCAGCAGCCGCGGUAAUACGGAGGAUCCGAGCGUUAUCCGGAUUUAUUGGGUUUAAAGGGAGCGUAGAUGGGUUGUUAAGUCAGUUGUGAAAGUUUGCGGCUCAACCGUAAAAUUGCAAUUGAUACUGGCAGUCUAGAGAACAGUUGAGGUAGGCGGAAUUCGUGGUGUAGCGGUGAAAUGCUUAGAGAUCACGAAGAACCCCGAUUGCGAAGGCAGCUUACUAAACUGUGACUGACAUUGAGGCUCGAAAGCGUGGGUAGCAAACAGGAUUAGAUACCCGAGUAGUC
rnacentral:rRNA from 1 species